UACGGAGGGUGCGAGCGUUGUCCGGAAUCAUUGGGCGUAAAGGGCGCGUAGGUGGCCCGGUCAGUCCGUGGUGAAAGCGCGGGGCUCAACCCCGCGUCGGCCAUGGAUACUGCUGGGCUGGAGCACUGUAGAGGCAGGCGGAAUUCCGGGUGUAGCGGUGGAAUGCGUAGAGAUUAGGAAGAACACCAGUGGCGAAGGCGACUUACUGGACUGUAACUGACGCUGAGGCAUGAAAGCGUGGGGAGCAAACAGG
rnacentral:rRNA from 1 species